rnacentral:rRNA from 1 species
AUGCAGUCGAGCGGAUGACGGGAGCUUGCUCCUUGAUUCAGCGGCGGACGGGUGAGUAAUGCCUAGGAAUCUGCCUGGUAGUGGGGGACAACGUUUCGAAAGGAACGCUAAUACCGCAUACGUCCUACGGGAGAAAGCAGGGGACCUUCGGGCCUUGCGCUAUCAGAUGAGCCUAGGUCGGAUUAGCUAGUUGGUGAGGUAAUGGCUCACCAAGGCGACGAUCCGUAACUGGUCUGAGAGGAUGAUCAGUCACACUGGAACUGAGACACGGUCCAGACUCCUACGGGAGGCAGCAGUGGGGAAUAUUGGACAAUGGGCGAAAGCCUGAUCCAGCCAUGCCGCGUGUGUGAAGAAGGUCUUCGGAUUGUAAAGCACUUUAAGUUGGGAGGAAGGGCAGUAAGCUAAUACCUUGCUGUUUUGACGUUACCGACAGAAUAAGCACCGGCUAACUCUGUGCCAGCAGCCGCGGUAAUACAGAGGGUGCAAGCGUUAAUCGGAAUUACUGGGCGUAAAGCGCGCGUAGGUGGUUCGUUAAGUUGGAUGUGAAAGCCCCGGGCUCAACCUGGGAACUGCAUCCAAAACUGGCGAGCUAGAGUACGGUAGAGGGUGGUGGAAUUUCCUGUGUAGCGGUGAAAUGCGUAGAUAUAGGAAGGAACACCAGUGGCGAAGGCGACCACCUGGACUGAUACUGACACUGAGGUGCGAAAGCGUGGGGAGCAAACAGGAUUAGAUACCCUGGUAGUCCACGCCGUAAACGAUGUCAACUAGCCCUUGGAAUCCUUGAGAUUUUAGUGGCGCAGCUAACGCAUUAAGUUGACCGCCUGGGGAGUACGGCCGCAAGGUUAAAACUCAAAUGAAUUGACGGGGGCCCGCACAAGCGGUGGAGCAGGUGGUUUAAUUCGAACCACCGCGAAGAACCUUACCAGGCCUUGACAUGCAAAGAACUUUCCAAAAAUGGAUUGGUGCCUUCGGGAACUCUGACCCAGGUGCUGCAGGGCUUUCGUCACCUCCGGUCCUGGAAAUUUGGG